UACGGAGGGGGCGAGCGUUAUUCGGAAUUAUUGGGCGUAAAGGGCGCGUAGGCGGCGUGCUAAGUCGAACGUGAAAUCCCCGGGCUCAACCCGGGAACUGCGUCCGAGACUGGCAGGCUUGAAUCCGGGAGAGGGAUGUGGAAGUUCCAGGUGUAGCGGUGAAAUGCGUAGAUAUCAGGAGGAACACCGGUGGCGAAGGCGGUUCUCUGGGCCUUACCUGACGCUGAGGAGCGAAAGCGUGGGGAGCGAACAGG
rnacentral:rRNA from 1 species